CGCAAUUUUUCUUACUCUCUUCACACCACAAACAAAUACAUAUAUGUAUGUAUGUAUAUAUGUAUAAGUAUAUUAAAAACCAAGUGUUUUUGUGUGCAGUACCUGCUUGUCUGUUUUCUUGCUUGUCACUUUAUUUGUGUCAUUAUUUGUUGUUGAGUUGUUUACUUAUUGAAUGAAGUUGCUCAAAUGCUCAUAGUUCUUAGUUGGUGAUUUAUGACUCUGAUACGUGCAGUUCUCACGAGCAAUUAGCACAGUUUAGUUCUGAUUAUGGCGCAUUUGAUUGCCUUUGAAAACUUGCUAUAGGCGAGAAACUUUCCUAUCUCCUCCGAGUGUACAAGUCAAGUGAAAUUAAGUCAAGGCCAACAUUUUGCAUUAAGUGACUUUGUAUUCAGGUGAAUAUUGUAUAUUAGAUCAUGGAGCCCAUAUCUUCGGAAUCGUGCGAUUUGUUAAAAUGAAAUACUAAAAGCGGUGGUCGAGAAAGAGUAGUAAUAACUCACGGUUGAGAGAAUAUAGAAUUUCUUAUAAUAAAUAAUAAUUGAAAGCUUGGUCUGUGCUUAGACACAGACGUUGGAACAGCCUGGCGUUAUGUGGAUUUUCAUCCCGCCAUUAGAUAAAAGAAAAAAAAAGGUUUUCCAAAAUGCAGCAUUAACAUAAAAUGGAAACAACAAGGAAAAUUUUAAGGAGGGAAUCUUUGUCGAUGACUUGGAUUUUACCAAAUAUUUGACAGCUUGGACUUAUUUACGAAUGGGUAAAAUUGACAUGCAAGACAUGAAGCAUCUGAGUUUCUUCCCUGAGAAUUUUGGAGUUUACGUGAUGAAUAUAGUGAAAGAAAGCAAAUUAAAUAAGAAAAUUUAGAUUUAAAAAAUUAAACAUUUUUUACACUAACCGGAAUAAUUUUUGCAUUUAUGUACCAGGUGCGCAUCUAAGUUCUCGCUGUUUUUUUUAUGAAAAUACACCUUUAUUCUGAAAAAAUGGUUACAAGUGAAUCAUUGAAAGUAUUGCCCAUCGCUGGCUACCACUUUUCCCCAUCUUUCUGGUAGAUCUC